UACGGAGGGUGCAAGCGUUAAUCGGAAUUACUGGGCGUAAAGCGCACGUAGGUGGUUUGCUAAGUCAGCUGUGAAAUCCCCGGGCUUAACCUGGGCACUGCAGUUGAAACUGGCAAGCUAGAGUAGGGUAGAGGGGUGUGGAAUUCCAGGUGUAGCGGUGAAAUGCGUAGAUAUCUGGAGGAACACCGGUGGCGAAGGCGGCAUCCUGGACCAACACUGACGCUGAGGAGCGAAAGCCAGGGGAGCAAACGGG
rnacentral:rRNA from 1 species